AGGAGAUGAAGAGGGUGGACAAAAAUCAGCAAUAGGCCACCAAAAGGAACAAAACCAGAAGGAGAGAGAGAGAACAGCGGUCUCUUCGGGCCUCUGUCAGGCAUCGUAUAUCAUCUUUAACGAGAUGGAUUGUGUUUCAGUAGAUUAGGCAUUUCCUGUUGCUGAUGGUGAAUGUAAAUCAUGUACACAGUUCUCUGAUACAGAAACAAACUGUAUUCUUAAAGUUAUAUCCAGUAUAACAAAAAGUCAUUUAUAUGGACCAUCUAUGAUAGUGUUCCCUUCUCUGUGAUGUGUAGCGCCUGCUAGGAAUGAGCCUCUCUUUGGCAGCUUUGAAAUGUGAAUAAAUGUAUUCUGUUUGUGAGAAAAGAACGUGUGCAAAAUAACACUUUAAGACUAAGCUGAGUUUGUUUUGUUUUUAUAUACGUAUAUAUCUACGACAGAGUUCCUAAUUUUUGUAUCAGCACUCUAAUUGUACUCUGUGUUUUUCUAUUGCAAAUAAAGUCCAAAUGCAAACAAAAA